rnacentral:rRNA from 1 species
GGGAGAAAGCAGGGGACCUUCGGGCCUUGCGCUAUCAGAUGAGCCUAGGUCGGAUUAGCUAGCUGGUGGGGUAAUGGCUCACCAAGGCGACGAUCCGUAACUGGUCUGAGAGGAUGAUCAGUCACACUGGAACUGAGACACGGUCCAGACUCCUACGGGAGGCAGCAGUGGGGAAUAUUGGACAAUGGGCGAAAGCCUGAUCCAGCCAUGCCGCGUGUGUGAAGAAGGUCUUCGGAUUGUAAAGCACUUUAAGUUGGGAGGAAGGGCAGUAAAUUAAUACUUUGCUGUUUUGACGUUACCGACAGAAUAAGCACCGGCUAACUCUGUGCCAGCAGCCGCGGUAAUACAGAGGGUGCAAGCGUUAAUCGGAAUUACUGGGCGUAAAGCGCGCGUAGGCGGUUCGUUAAGUUGGAUGUGAAAUCCCCGGGCUCAACCUGGGAACUGCAUUCAAAACUGACGAGCUAGAGUAUGGUAGAGGGUGGUGGAAUUUCCUGUGUAGCGGUGAAAUGCGUAGAUAUAGGAAGGAACACCAGUGGCGAAGGCGACCACCU